rnacentral:rRNA from 1 species
AGAUGUUGGGUUAAGUCCGUAACGAGCGCAACCCUUGUCCUUAGUUUACCAGCACGUAUGGUGGGCACUCUAAGGAGACUGCCGGCGACAAACCGGAGGAAGGUGGGGAUGACGUCAAGUCAUCAUGGCCCUUACGGCCUGGGCUACACACGUGCUACAAUGGUCGGUACAAAGGGUUGCCAAGCCGCGAGGUGGAGCUAAUCCCAUAAAACCGAUCGUAGUCCGGAUCGCAGUCUGCAACUCGACUGCGUGAAGUCGGAAUCGCUAGUAAUCGUGAAUCAGAAUGUCACGGUGAAUACGUUCCCGGGCCUU